GUCCUCCAUUUGUCAUCACGUAUGCUAAAAUUGGAUCGAUACAGAGAAGAUUAGCAUGGCCAGGACACAAGCAUGACAUGCAAAUUUGUGAAGCAUUCCAUAUUCUU